rnacentral:rRNA from 1 species
ACCCGCUGAACUUAAGCAUAUCAAUAAGCGGAGGAAAAGAAACCAACAGGGAUUGCCCUAGUAACGGCGAGUGAAGCGGCAACAGCUCAAAUUUGAAAUCUGGCUCUUUUAGAGUCCGAGUUGUAAUUUGCAGAGGGCGCUUUGGCUUUGGCAGCGGUCCAAGUUCCUUGGAACAGGACGUCACAGAGGGUGAGAAUCCCGUACGUGGUCGCUGGCUAUUGCCGUGUAAAGCCCCUUCGACGAGUCGAGUUGUUUGGGAAUGCAGCUCUAAGUGGGAGGUACAUUUCUUCUAAAGCUAAAUAUUGGCCAGAGACCGACAGCGCACAAGUAGAGUGAUCGAAAGAUGAAAAGCACUUUGGAAAGAGAGUCAAACAGCACGUGAAAUUGUUGAAAGGGAAGCGCUUGCAGCCAGAUUUGCUUACAGUUGCUCAUCCGGGCUUUUGCCCGGUGCACUCUUCUGUAGGCAGGCCAGCAUCAGUUUGGGCGGUAGGAUAAAGGUCUCUGUCACGUACCUCUCUUCGGGGAGGCCUUAUAGGGGAGACGACAUACUACCAGCCUGGACUGAGGUCCGCGCAUCUGCUAGGAUGCUGGCGUAAUGGCUGU